AUUGAACGCUGGCGGCAGGCCUAACACAUGCAAGUCGAGCGGGGUUUUCGGACAUAGUGGCGCACGGGUGCGUAACACGUAUGCAACCUACCUUACGUUGGGGGAUAGCCUUUCGAAAGGGAGAUUAAUACCGCAUAAGACAGUAACUAGGCAUCUAGUAGCUGUUAAAGAUUUAUCGAUGUAAGCUGGGCAUGCGUCCAAUUAGCUAGUUGGUGAGGUAACGGCUCACCAAGGCAAUGAUUGGUAGGGGAACUGAGAGGUCAAUCCCCCACACUGGCACUGAGAUACGGGCCAGACUCCUACGGGAGGCAGCAGUAGGGAAUAUUGGGCAAUGGACGCAAGUCUGACCCAGCCAUGCCGCGUGCAGGAUGAAGGCGUUAUGCGUUGUAAACUGCUUUUAUACAGGAAGAAACGACUCUUGCGAGAGGCAUUGACGGUACUGUAUGAAUAAGCACCGGCUAACUCCGUGCCAGCAGCCGCGGUAAUAC
rnacentral:rRNA from 1 species